rnacentral:miRNA from 1 species
UGCGGAUAUCUUAGGAUGAGGU